UUUAGAUUGAAUUGAAAGUAACUGAUGUUAGAAGUUAGAUGAGGCAAUGAUAAUAAAAUUGCGUAUGCAACAAAAUAAAAUUGUUAAAUAGGUCAUAUCAUGAGGAAUCAAAUUGUCCAUAAAAGAUAACUUUUCCCACACAGGAUUAUUCAUAGUGAGUGCUUGUUGUAUAACAUUACAUAACUUUUUUAGAGGAGAGACAAACAUCUGCAAGGGCUGACCACACGAAGACCCAACCAUGCAAUGACCCAACGAAGAGUGAGCUUAAAGGAUCGACUGCCAGUAGGCCUACCUGCAGAAUUGGAGUAGUUCGCUUGUUCUACAUUCCUGUUUGUAAAUCUUGAAA